GCACUGGGGGUUGUAGGACUGCAAUGUGCAAGAGGUGAGUUUAGCAGAACAUUCUGGAAAGUAUAGCCAUAGAGGGUGAUAGUCCCGUAUGCGAAAAACAAACCUUAGCUAGCAGUAUCCUGAGUAGGGCGGGACACGAGAAAUCCUGUCUGAAGCUGGGUCGACCACGAUCCAACCCUAAAUACUAAUACCAGAUCGAUAGUGCACAAGUACCGUGAGGGAAAGGUGAAAAGAACUGAGGUGAUCAGAGUGAAAUAGAACCUGAAACCAUUUGCUUACAAUCAUUCAGAGCCCUAUGUAGCAAUACAGGGUGAUGGACUGCCUUUUGCAUAAUGAGCCUGCGAGUUGUGGUGUCUGGCAAGGUUAAGCAAACGCGAAGCCGUAGCGAAAGCGAGUCUGAAUAGGGCGCUUAGUCAGAUGCUGCAGACCCGAAACGAAGUGAUCUAUCCAUGAGCAAGUUGAAGCUAGUGUAAGAACUAGUGGAGGACUGAACCCAUAGGCGUUGAAAAGCCCCGGGAUGACUUGUGGAUAGGGGUGAAAGGCCAAUCAAACUUCGUGAUAGCUGGUUCUCUCCGAAAUAUAUUUAGGUAUAGCGUUGUGUCGUAAUAUAAGGGGGUAGAGCACUGAAUGGGCUAGGGCAUACACCAAUGUACCAAACCCUAUCAAACUCCGAAUACCUUAUAUGUAAUCACAGCAGUCAGGCGGCGAGUGAUAAAAUCCGUCGUCAAGAGGGAAACAACCCAGACUACCAGCUAAGGUCCCUAAAUCUUACUUAAGUGGAAAACGAUGUGAAGUUACUUAAACAACCAGGAGGUUGGCUUAGAAGCAGCCAUCCUUUAAAGAAAGCGUAAUAGCUCACUGGUCUAGUGAUUUUGCGCGGAAAAUAUAACGGGGCUAAAGUAAGUACCGAAGCUGUAGACUUGAUUUUAUCAAGUGG
rnacentral:rRNA from 1 species